CUUUUUCAUUAUAGGUUAUUACAAGAUACUGAAGUUAGUUUCCUGUGCUAUAUGGGAAAGACACUGGCCCACACGUCACAGGAGAAACCAGGCUCCCACGACGCCUUGGCCCACAGCCAGACCUCCCCCUGGGCUGCCCUUUCUUCUGCUCCCCUCACCUCUGCAGUUUCCCAAGGCACCUCUGGGGCCUCCGGGCAGGCCACGGCACAGCCAGGAUGAGCCCAGGUGGAAGUGGAAAGUACGGUGGUCCUGGCUUCGCACUAUCAGAUGCUGACAAAGAAUCUGUACCGCCCACGACUCAGUAGCGUUGCUCGCUUUCACUUACUGAACCUACUCACUUGCCCCAGCUGUACACUGCGGAUGUCUCUGGAGGAUGACGAAUGAGGUCAACGGUCCCAGAUAACUGUCUGAGCCCAAGGGCUGGGGCCUUUCCCGUGGCAUCGCGACCCGAGGGCUUUCCCGUUAUUGCCCUGCAGUCACUGUCUCCUGGAACAGGAUGGGGCUGGCCUGUCAUUUACCUGCAGUCACUGUCUUCCGGAACAGGAUGGGGUUGGCCACGAGGACGAGCAGCAGCGGCAGGUACAUGGUGACGUAGUGGGGGAUGGCAUGCUCCAGGCCCCUCUCACACCUGAGCAAGGGAAGCCAAGUCAUUCUCAAAAACAAAGCUCAGCCUGAACUACUCCGACUUACCGGGAAGCGGAGAGAAGAGGGAGAUGCUCAGAUGGACACUGACUCUGCCCAGCGGAAAUCUGACUCAUCUCUCACGUCUGUGGACCAGCAAUAAAUUGGAGAAGAAUAGAGGGAAUCAAUCACAGUUCUGUCUGUCUCGUAAACAGGGGAGAUUUUAAAGGUCCCUGCUGGGAAAAGCUAGAGAGAGGAAAAGACUCUGAGAGGGUGGCUUCCGCAUACUGGGUCUCUUCAAAGAAAAAACACAAUUCAAGGAAGACGAAGGCACUCAGUGAACUAGUUAGGUUUGGAGCACUUAUGAUGGGCUAAGCCUGGCCGAUGUCAUGGAGAAGACCCAACGUCUGUCCUUGACCUACGGAAAAUACGCAUGCUUCCUAUUUCAAAGGACAUUGUGCUCAUGGUGAUGGGUAAUCACUUGGGUGGUUCUGUUCAGAGAGAUUUCUGUGGAUGGGCCAUGGGACUUUGUCACUGUAGGACGUGGUAGAGAGCCACACCCAGGGGUGUUAACUGUCAGCGCACAAACGCAUCAUCUACAGGAAAAUGAAGAGAGAAUCCAAAGCAAAGGGGAAAGAGGAUGCUCGGGCCCAAACCAAGACUGAGGGGGAAAAGCAGAGGCGGGAACAGCCCCCGUGGCCACGGAAGGUGAUAAAAAUUCAAGCACUCCUGUUUGAAUACACCUGGACUGCUCAAACCAGUAGGGGAAACCUGGCGGAGAAUGCAGAAGAGAGGGUUCCUGGAGAGAGCAGGCUGUUUGGACCUGUGAGGAGUCACUGUUGACAAGGCAACACCAGUGUGGAGACGUCCCAGGGAGCAGCUACAAGAAAUCAAAACAUAAGGGAGAGACACGGUCUACACCACAGCUGGUUUUGAUUGUGGCUGGAUCUAAGCUGAGAUGUCCACGAAGCUCGGGAAUCCUAACCACACCGUGGACCGGACUAUGAUACCUAAGGGAGAAUCAGUUAUGCAUAAGGGACCAGAAGAGGCGAGGAAACUUGUCCAGGGUCACGGAGGUGGCAGAGCUGAGAAUCAAACCCAGGAGGAUUACACUGUAAGCUCCGGAGGGGAACUGGGGGCUCAUUUCCCUGUCAACGUGUCUACAACCUGGUCAGACCGAGGAAAGCACUUUCGCCACACACCACCUGGAAGCAACACUUUUGAGAAGCUGGAGGCAGCAAGUUGAAUUUGAUGCCAUCCUUGCACUUUCAAGGAAGUGAGUGAGUGUGUAUGUGGGGGGCGGGGUGAGGCGAACAGAUGGACAGGCAUGUAUACAUGUUACGUGUUUCAAGCUUUGUUUACAUAUUAUGAUUCUUUUUGUGCACACUAUA